AUUGAACGCUGGCGGCAGGCCUAACACAUGCAAGUCGAGCGGAUGACGGGAGCUUGCUCCUUGAUUCAGCGGCGGACGGGUGAGUAAUGCCUAGGAAUCUGCCUGGUAGUGGGGGACAACGUUUCGAAAGGAACGCUAAUACCGCAUACGUCCUACGGGAGAAAGCAGGGGACCUUCGGGCCUUGCGCUAUCAGAUGAGCCUAGGUCGGAUUAGCUAGUUGGUGGGGUAAUGGCUCACCAAGGCGACGAUCCGUAACUGGGCUGAGAGGAUGAUCAGUCACACUGGAACUGAGACACGGUCCAGACUCCUACGGGAGGCAGCAGUGGGGAAUAUUGGACAAUGGGCGAAAGCCUGAUCCAGCCAUGCCGCGUGUGUGAAGAAGGUCUUCGGAUUGUAAAGCACUUUAAGUUGGGAGGAAGGGCAGUAAGUUAAUACCCUGCUGUUUUGACGUUACCGACAGAAUAAGCACCGGCUAACUCUGUGCCAGCCGCCGCUGUAA
rnacentral:rRNA from 1 species